GAACGCUAGCUACAGGCUUAACACAUGCAAGUCCAUGGGCAGCAUGGUCUUAGCUUGCUAAGGCCGAUGGCGACCGGCGCACGGGUGAGUAACACGUAUCCAACCUGCCGUCUACUCUUGGACAGCCUUCUGAAAGGAAGAUUAAUACAAGAUGGCAUCAUGAGUCCGCAUGUUCACAUGAUUAAAGGUAUUCCGGUAGACGAUGGGGAUGCGUUCCAUUAGAUAGUAGGCGGGGUAACGGCCCACCUAGUCUUCGAUGGAUAGGGGUUCUGAGAGGAAGGUCCCCCACAUUGGAACUGAGACACGGUCCAAACUCCUACGGGAGGCAGCAGUGAGGAAUAUUGGUCAAUGGGCGAGAGCCUGAACCAGCCAAGUAGCGUGAAGGAUGACUGCCCUAUGGGUUGUAAACUUCUUUUAUAAAGGAAUAAAGUCGGGUAUGGAUACCCGUUUGCAUGUACUUUAUGAAUAAGGAUCGGCUAACUCCGUGCCAGCAGCCGCGGUAAUACGGAGGAUCCGAGCGUUAUCCGGAUUUAUUGGGUUUAAAGGGAGCGUAGAUGGAUGUUUAAGUCAGUUGUGAAAGUUUGCGGCUCAACCGUAAAAUUGCAGUUGAUACUGGAUAUCUUGAGUGCAGUUGAGGCAGGCGGAAUUCGUGGUGUAGCGGUGAAAUGCUUAGAUAUCACGAAGAACUCCGAUUGCGAAGGCAGCCUGCUAAGCUGCAACUGACAUUGAGGCUCGAAAGUGUGGGUAUCAAACAGGAUUAGAUACCCUGGUAGUCCACACGGUAAACGAUGAAUACUCGCUGUUUGCGAUAUACUGCAAGCGGCCAAGCGAAAGCGUUAAGUAUUCCACCUGGGGAGUACGCCGGCAACGGUGAAACUCAAAGGAAUUGACGGGGGCCCGCACAAGCGGAGGAACAUGUGGUUUAAUUCGAUGAUACGCGAGGAACCUUACCCGGGCUUAAAUUGCAGAUGAAUUACGGUGAAAGCCGUAAGCCGCAAGGCAUCUGUGAAGGUGCUGCAUGGUUGUCGUCAGCUCGUGCCGUGAGGUGUCGGCUUAAGUGCCAUAACGAGCGCAACCCUUGUUGUCAGUUACUAACAGGUUCCGCUGAGGACUCUGACAAGACUGCCAUCGUAAGAUGUGAGGAAGGUGGGGAUGACGUCAAAUCAGCACGGCCCUUACGUCCGGGGCUACACACGUGUUACAAUGGGGGGUACAGAGGGCCGCUACCACGCGAGUGGAUGCCAAUCCCCAAAACCUCUCUCAGUUCGGACUGGAGUCUGCAACCCGACUCCACGAAGCUGGAUUCGCUAGUAAUCGCGCAUCAGCCACGGCGCGGUGAAUACGUUCCCGGGCCUUGUACACACCGCCCGUCAAGCCAUGGGAGCCGGGGGUACCUGAAGUGCGUAACCGCGAGGAG
rnacentral:rRNA from 1 species